rnacentral:rRNA from 1 species
AAGAUAGCCUGCAUGUCUAGUAUAGCAAUAUACCGCGAAACUGCGAAUGGCUCAUUAAAUCAGUUAUCGUUUAUUUGAUAGUACCUUACUACUUGGAUAACCGUGGUAAUUCUAGAGCUAAUACAUGCUAAAAAUCCCGACUUCGGAAGGGAUGUAUUUAUUAGAUUAAAAACCAAUGCCCUUCGGGGCUCUCUGGUGAUUCAUAAUAACUUCUCGAAUCGCACGGCCUUGCGCCGGCGAUGGUUCAUUCAAAUUUCUGCCCUAUCAACUUUCGACGGCUGGGUCUUGGCCAGCCAUGGUGACAACGGGUAACGGAGGGUUAGGGCUCGACCCCGGAGAAGGAGCCUGAGAAACGGCUACUACAUCCAAGGAAGGCAGCAGGCGCGCAAAUUACCCAAUCCCGACUCGGGGAGGUAGUGACAAUAAAUACUGAUACAGGGCUCUUUUGGGUCUUGUAAUUGGAAUGAGUACAAUUUAAAUCCCUUAACGAGGAACAAUUGGAGGGCAAGUCUGGUGCCAGCAGCCGCGGUAAUUCCAGCUCCAAUAGCGUAUAUUAAAGUUGUUGCAGUUAAAAAGCUCGUAGUUGAACCUUGGGCCUGGCUGGCCGGUCCGCCUCACCGCGUGUACUGGUCCGGCCGGGCCUUUCCCUCUGGGGAACCGCAUGCCCUUCACUGGGUGUGUCGGGGAACCAGGACUUUUACUUUGAACAAAUUAGAUCGCUUAAAGAAGGCCUAUGCUCGAAUACAUUAGCAUGGAAUAAUAGAAUAGGACGUGUGGUUCUAUUUUGUUGGUUUCUAGGACCGCCGUAAUGAUUAAUAGGGACAGUCGGGGGCAUCAGUAUUCAAUUGUCAGAGGUGAAAUUCUUGGAUUUAUUGAAGACUAACUACUGCGAAAGCAUUUGCCAAGGAUGUUUUCAUUAAUCAGGAACGAAAGUUAGGGGAUCGAAGACGAUCAGAUACCGUCGUAGUCUUAACCAUAAACUAUGCCGACUAGGGAUCGGACGAUGUUAUAUUUUGACUCGUUCGGCACCUUACACGAAAGUAAAGUUUCUGGGUUCUGGGGGGAGUAUGGUCGCAAGGUGAAUAG